rnacentral:rRNA from 1 species
AUUGAACGCUGGCGGCAGGCCUAACACAUGCAAGUCGAGCGGAUGAAGGGAGCUUGCUCCUGGAUUCAGCGGCGGACGGGUGAGUAAUGCCUAGGAAUCUGCCUGGUAGUGGGGGAUAACGUCCGGAAACGGGCGCUAAUACCGCAUACGUCCUGAGGGAGAAAGUGGGGGAUCUUCGGACCUCACGCUAUCAGAUGAGCCUAGGUCGGAUUAGCUAGUUGGUGGGGUAAAGGCCUACCAAGCCGACGAUCCGUAACUGGUCUGAGAGGAUGAUCAGUCACACUGGAACUGAGACACGGUCCAGACUCCUACGGGAGGCAGCAGUGGGGAAUAUUGGACAGUGGGCGAAAGCCUGAUCCAGCGAUGCCGCGUGUGUGAAGAAGGUCUUCGGAUUGUAAAGCACUUUAAGUUGGGAGGAAGGGCAGUAAGUUAAUACCUUGCUGUUUUGACGUUACCCACAGAAUAAGCACCGGCUAACUUCGUG